rnacentral:rRNA from 1 species
AUUGAACGCUGGCGGCAGGCCUAACACAUGCAAGUCGAACGGUAACAGGAAGAAGCUUGCUUCUUUGCUGACGAGUGGCGGACGGGUGAGUAAUGUCUGGGAAACUGCCUGAUGGAGGGGGAUAACUACUGGAAACGGUAGCUAAUACCGCAUAACGUCGCAAGACCAAAGAGGGGGACCUUCGGGCCUCUUGCCAUCGGAUGUGCCCAGAUGGGAUUAGCUAGUAGGUGGGGUAACGGCUCACCUAGGCGACGAUCCCUAGCUGGUCUGAGAGGAUGACCAGCCACACUGGAACUGAGACACGGUCCAGACUCCUACGGGAGGCAGCAGUGGGGAAUAUUGCACAAUGGGCGCAAGCCUGAUGCAGCCAUGCCGCGUGUAUGAAGAAGGCCUUCGGGUUGUAAAGUACUUUCAGCGGGGAGGAAGGGAGUAAAGUUAAUACCUUUGCUCAUUGAUGUUACCCGCAGAAGAAGCACCGGCUAACUCCGUG